AGCGAACGCUGGCGGCAGGCUUAACACAUGCAAGUCGAGCGGGCAUCCUUGUGGUGUCAGCGGCAGACGGGUGAGUAACGCGUGGGAACGUGCCCUUCGGUUCGGAAUAACUCAGGGAAACUUUAGCUAAUACCGGAUACGUUCGAGAGCAGAAAGGCUUAUCUGCCGAAGGAUCGGCGCGCGUCUGCUUAGCUAGUUGGUGAGGUUAUGGCUCACCAAGGCGACGAUCAGUAGCUGGUCUGAGAGGCUGAUCAGCCACACUGGGACUGAGACACGGCCCAGACUCGUACGGGAGGCAGGGGUGGGGAAUAUUGGAGAAUGGAGGCAACUCUGAUCCAGCCAUGCGGCGUGAGUGAUGACGGCGUUAGGGUUGUAAAGCUCUUUUCGCCGGGACGAUAAUGACGGUACCGGAGGAAUAAGCCCCGGCUAACUUCGUG
rnacentral:rRNA from 1 species